GGAAGUGAGGGCGAUCUGGCUGGACAUUUGCCACCCCAUUGAUUGCCAGGGUUGAUUUGGCUGAUCUGGCUGUCUAGGCAGGUGUCCCCUUCCUCCCUCAACGUUCCAUGUGCGUCCCUCCAGAAGCUGUGUGCUAGGUGAAAGAGGAUGACCACCCCAAUAGGGGAGGACUAUUCCUCAGUCAAGAGUAUACAUGUACCUGCUCUCCCCUGCUAGAACCUCCGAACAAGCUCUCAAAUAAUACACAAUGUUAAUGUGCCCACCCUGUGAUCUAUGAAAAUUUGAAAAUCACUGAUCUAUAAAAAUUAAAAAAAAAAACAUUGAGAGAUUCAGCCAGUUCUCAAGU
rnacentral:snRNA from 1 species